rnacentral:rRNA from 1 species
UACGGAGGGGGCUAGCGUUGUUCGGAAUUACUGGGCGUAAAGCGCACGUAGGCGGCUUUGUAAGUUAGAGGUGAAAGCCCGGGGCUCAACUCCUGAAUUGCCUUUAAGACUGCAUCGCUAGAAUUGUGGAGAGGUAAGUGGAAUUCCGAGUGUAGAGGUGAAAUUCGUAGAUAUUCGGAAGAACACCAGUGGCGAAGGCGACUUACUGGACACAUAUUGACGCUGAGGUGCGAAAGCGUGGGGAGCAAACAGG